rnacentral:rRNA from 1 species
UUGAACGCUGGCGGCAGGCCUAACACAUGCAAGUCGAGCGGAUGAAGGGAGCUUGCUCCUGGAUUCAGCGGCGGACGGGUGAGUAAUGCCUAGGAAUCUGCCUGGUAGUGGGGGAUAACGUCCGGAAACGGGCGCUAAUACCGCAUACGUCCUGAGGGAGAAAGUGGGGGAUCUUCGGACCUCACGCUAUCAGAUGAGCCUAGGUCGGAUUAGCUAGUUGGUGGGGUAAAGGCCUACCAAGGCGACGAUCCGUAACUGGUCUGAGAGGAUGAUCAGUCACACUGGAACUGAGACACGGUCCAGACUCCUACGGGAGGCAGCAGUGGGGAAUAUUGGACAAUGGGCGAAAGCCUGAUCCAGCCAUGCCGCGUGUGUGAAGAAGGUCUUCGGAUUGCAAAGCACUUUAAGUUGGGAGGAAGGGCAGUAAGUUAAUACCUUGCUGUUUUGACGUUACCAGCAGAAUAAGCACCGGCUAACUUCGUG